rnacentral:misc_RNA from 1 species
GCAACCUGCACAGCAGUUCUGCUAUUAGUUUCAGCUUUAUGACUGGUGUCAAAAGGUCUAGAGCUUCUUUUAUCCAUGUUCAGUACGAUGGUGCAGCAGGGCAAGGAAAUGACUUCAGGCUNNNNNNNNUGCUAAUGUAGUUUGUAACAUAUCAAUGUGUAACCAAUUCAUUUGCUGAUCUUGUACAGACAAUUAAUUGUUGAAUCAAUUGAUCACUGAAAA